GACGAACGCUGGCGGCGUGCUUAACACAUGCAAGUCGAACGGAAAGGCCCCUUAGGGGGUCCUCGAGUGGCGAACGGGUGAGUAACACGUGAGUAACCUGCCCUGACUUCGGGAUAACUUCAGGAAACUGGGGCUAAUACCGGAUAGGAAUCCUUGCUGCAUGGUGGGGGUUGGAAAGCUUCGGCGGUUUUGGAUGGACUCGCGGCUUAUCAGCUGGUUGGUGGGGUGGUGGCUUACCAAGGCUUUGACGGGUAGCCGGCCUGAGAGGGGGACCGGCCACAUUGGGACUGAGAGACGGCCCAGACUCCUACGGGAGGCAGGAGUGGGGAAUAUUGCACAAGGGGCGGAAGCCGGAUGCAGGAACGCCGCGGGCGGGAGGACGGCCUUCGGGUUGGAAACCGCUUUCAGCAGGGGCGAAGCUUGUGGUGACGGUACCUGCAGAAGAAGCACCGGCUAACUACGUG
rnacentral:rRNA from 1 species